rnacentral:rRNA from 1 species
GCAUAUCAAUAAGCGGAGGAAAAAGAAACUAACAAGGAUUCCCCUAGUAACUGCGUAGUGAAGCGGGAAAAGCUCAAAUUUAAAAUCUGGCGGUUUUGGCCGUCCGAGUUGUAGUCUGGAGAAGUGCUUUCCGCGCCGGACCGUGUACAAGUCUCCUGGAACGGAGCGUCAUAGAGGGUGAGAAUCCCGUCUUUGACACGGACUACCGGUGCUUUGUGAUGCGCUCUCAAAGAGUCGAGUUGUUUGGGAAUGCAGCUCAAAAUGGGUGGUGAAUUCCAUCUAAAGCUAAAUAUUGGCGAGAGACCGAUAGCGAACAAGUACCGUGAGGGAAAGAUGAAAAGCACUUUGGAAAGAGAGUUAAACAGUACGUGAAAUUGCUGAAAGGGAAACGAUUGAAGUCAGUCGCGUCGUCCGGAACUCAGCCUUGCCUCGGCUUGGUGCACUUUCCGGUUGACGGGCCAGCAUCGAUUUUGACCGGCGGAUAAAGGUUCGAGGAAUGUGGCACCCUCGGGUGUGUUAUAGCCUCGGAUUGUAUACGUCGGUUGGGAUCGAGGAACUCAGCUUCGGCUUAGGAUGCUGGCGUAAUGGCUUUAAACGACCCGUCUUGAAACACGGACCAAGGAGUCUAACAUGCCCGCGAGUGUUUGGGUGGUAAACCCAGGCGCGUAAUGAAAGUGAAAGUCGAGACCUCUGUCGUGGAGGGCAUCGACGCCCGGACCUGACCUUCUGUGACGGCUCCGCGGUAGAGCGUGUAUGUUGGGACCCGAAAGAUGGUGAACUAUGCCUGAAUAGGGUGAAGCCAGAGGAAACUCUGGUGGAGGCUCGUAGCGAUUCUGACGUGCAAAUCGAUCGUCAAAUUUGGGUAUAGGGGCGAAAGACUAAUCGAACCAUCUAGUAGCUGGUUCCUGCCG